rnacentral:lncRNA from 1 species
GAAAUGGACCUCGAUGAAAUUGAUCCUUGUCGAUAAUAAAGAAAUCCGAAGACCAAAAUACUCGACCGAAGAACCUCGAUCGCGAUGAAUCCAACUCGGUAGAGAGAAAAGCUAAUAAGACAACUUCAAAACCAGUGAGACAAACUUUAUUAUACGAAACCCAACCAAGAACGACGACGCAAUUCGAUAAAGACGACUCGAAAUCCAA